CCUACGGGAGGCAGCAGUAGGGAAUCUUUCACAAUGGGCGAAAGCCUGAUGGAGCAACGCCGCGUGCAGGAUGAAGGCCUUCGGGUUGUAAACUGCUUUUAUAAGCGAGAAAUAUGAUGGUAACUUAUGAAUAAGGAUCGGCUAACUACGUGCCAGCAGCCGCGGUCAUACGUAGGAUCCGAGCAUUAUCCGGAGUGACUGGGUGUAAAGAGUUGCGUAGGUGGCAUAAUAAGUAGCUAGUGAAAUCUGGUGGCUCAACCAUUCAGACUAUUAGCUAAACUGUUAAGCUCGAGACCGUUAGGGGUAACUGGAAUGUCUAGUGUAGGAGUGAAAUCCGUAGAUAUUAGAAGGAACACCAAUAGCGUAGGCAGGUUGCUGGGACGGUUCUGACACGAAGGCACGAAAGCGUAGGGAGCAAACGGGAUUAGAUACCCGGGUAGUC
rnacentral:rRNA from 1 species